rnacentral:rRNA from 1 species
AUUGAACGCUGGCGGCAGGCUUAACGCAUGCAAGUCGAGCGGAGAUGAGGUGCUUGCACCUUAUCUUAGCGGCGGACGGGUGAGUAAUGCUUAGGAAUCUGCCUAUUAGUGGGGGACAACAUUCCGAAAGGAAUGCUAAUACCGCAUACGCCCUACGGGGGAAAGCAGGGGAUCUUCGGACCUGGCGCUAAUAGAUGAGCCUAAGUCGGAUUGGCUUGUUGGUGGGGUAAAGGCCUACCAAGGCGACGAUCUGUAGCGGGUCUGAGAGGAUGAUCCGCCACACUGGGACUGAGACACGGCCCAGACUCCUACGGGAGGCAGCAGUGGGGAAUAUUGGACAAUGGGCGGAAGCCUGAUCCAGCCAUGCCGCGUGUGUGAAGAAGGCCUUUUGGUUGUAAAGCACUUUAAGCGAGGAGGAGGCUACCUGGAUUAAUACUCUAGGAUAGUGGACGUUACUCGCAGAAUAAGCACCGGCUAACUCUGUGCCAGCAGCCGCCGUAAAAC